UACAGAGGGGGCAAGCGUUGUUCGGAAUUACUGGGCGUAAAGGGCGCGUAGGCGGCCAACUAAGUCAGACGUGAAAUCCCUCGGCUCAACCGGGGAACUGCGUCUGAUACUGGAUGGCUUGAGGUUGGGAGAGGGAUGCGGAAUUCCAGGUGUAGCGGUGAAAUGCGUAGAUAUCUGGAGGAACACCGGUGGCGAAGGCGGCAUCCUGGACCAAUUCUGACACUGAGGAGCGAAAGCCAGGGGGGCAAACGGG
rnacentral:rRNA from 1 species